AGGGGCACAGCUCAGUGGUAGAAUGUGUGCUUAGCAAGUACAAGGUCUUGGGUUCAGUCCCCAGUACCUCUA
rnacentral:tRNA from 1 species